AACCGCCGUAUACGGUUCCGUACGUACGGUGGUGUGGGAGGUCGAUAGUGUGAACUAUCUCCUACCCGAU
rnacentral:ncRNA from 1 species